AUGCUCACUUUGGCAGCACAUAUACUAAAACUGAAACAAUACAGAGAAGAUUAGCAUGGCCCCUACACAAAGAUGACAUGCAAAUCCAUGAAACAAUCCAUAUUUUU
rnacentral:snRNA from 1 species